UACGUAGGUUGCAAGCGUUGUCCGGAAUUAUUGGGCGUAAAGCGCGCGCAGGCGGUCCUUUAAGUCUGAUGUGAAAGCCCACGGCUCAACCGCGGAAGGUCAUUGGAAACUGGGGGACUUGAGUGCAGAAGAGGAGAGCGGAAUUCCACGUGUAGCGGUGAAAUGCGUAGAGAUGUGGAGGAACACCAGUGGCGAAGGCGGCUUUCUGGUCUGUAACUGACGCUGAGGCGCGAAAGCGUGGGGAGCAAACAGG
rnacentral:rRNA from 1 species